rnacentral:rRNA from 1 species
UGGGGAAUAUUGCACAAUGGGCGAAAGCCUGAUGCAGCAACGCCGCGUGAGUGAUGAAGGCCUUCGGGUUGUAAAGCUCUGUCUUUUGGGACGAUAAUGACGGUACCAAAGGAGGAAGCCACGGCUAACUACGUGCCAGCAGCCGCGGUAAUACGUAGGUGGCGAGCGUUGUCCGGAUUUACUGGGCGUAAAGGAUGCGUAGGCGGAUAUUUAAGUGAGAUGUGAAAUACCCGAGCUUAACUUGGGCGCUGCAUUUCAAACUGGAUAUCUAGAGGGCGGGAGAGGAGAAUGGAAUUCCUAGUGUAGCGGUGAAAUGCGUAGAGAUUAGGAAGAACACCAGUGGCGAAGGCGAUUCUCUGGACCGUAACUGACGCUGAGGCAUGAAAGCGUGGGUAGCAAACA